rnacentral:rRNA from 1 species
CUGGCCUUGACAUCCCCCUGACAGCAGAGUAAUGUCUGACUUCCUUCGGGACAGGGGAGACAGGUGGUGCAUGGUUGUCGUCAGCUCGUGUCGUGAGAUGUUGGGUUAAGUCCCGCAACGAGCGCAACCCCUAUCUUCAGUAGCCAGCGAGUAAAGCCGGGCACUCUGGAGAGACUGCCGGGGAUAACCCGGAGGAAGGUGGGGAUGACGUCAAAUCAUCAUGCCCCUUAUGGCCAGGGCUACACACGUGCUACAAUGGCGUAAACAAAGGGAGGCGAAGGAGCGAUCCGGAGCGAAUCCCAAAAAUAACGUCUCAGUUCGGAUUGUAGUCUGCAACUCGACUACAUGAAGCUGGAAUCGCUAGUAAUCGCGAAUCAGAAUGUCGCGGUGAAUACGUUCCC